GGAAUAUUGGUCAAUGGGCGAGAGCCUGAACCAGCCAAGUAGCGUGCAGGAUGACGGCCCUAUGGGUUGUAAACUGCUUUUAUGCGGGGAUAAAGUGCACCACGUGUGGUGUUUUGUAGGUACCGCAUGAAUAAGGACCGGCUAAUUCCGUGCCAGCAGCCGCGGUAAUACGGAAGGUCCGGGCGUUAUCCGGAUUUAUUGGGUUUAAAGGGAGCGCAGGCGGAGGCUUAAGCGUGACGUGAAAUGUAGCCGCUCAACGGCUGAGUUGCGUCGCGAACUGGGUUUCUUGAGUGAGUUCGAUGUGGGCGGAAUUCGUGGUGUAGCGGUGAAAUGCUUAGAUAUCACGAAGAACUCCGAUUGCGAAGGCAGCCCACAAGGCCUUUACUGACGCUAAAGCUCGAAGGUGCGGGUAUCGAACA
rnacentral:rRNA from 1 species